rnacentral:rRNA from 1 species
GACGAACGCUGGCGGCGUGCUUAACACAUGCAAGUCGAACGCAGUGGCGAACGGGUGAGUAGUACGUGAGUAACCUGACCUCCUUUUUGGGAUAAGCCUUGGAACCGGGGUCUAAUACCGAAUAAAGGGGGUUGGGCUAGGGGCCUGUCCGGUUGUUGGUGGGGUGAUGGGCUACCAAGGCGGUGACGGGUGGCACGCCUGAGAGGGUGACCGGCGACAGUGGGACGGCGAUACGGCCUAGACGCGAAAGGGAGGGAGAAGUGGGGGAUAGUGCACAAGGUGUGAAAGCCUGAUGCAGCGACGCUGCGUGGGGGAUGAAGGCUUUAGGGUUGUGAACCUCUUUCGCUACCGAACGGGUAGGUGGAGAAGAAGCGCCGGCUAACUACGUGCCAGCCGCCGCGGUAAUUC